rnacentral:lncRNA from 1 species
AGUCUGUACUGAUCCUGGGACUACAGCGUACCCGCACUAGAAGACCGCAUGUGUGAAAUCCUGAACCAGCGUCCAAAGCCUGUGGGAGAUGAGGUGGCUCGCAGAACCUUCCAGAAAUGCCAUAAUUAUGAUGUAAGCAUAUAUGUGUGUAUGAAUAUGUGCAUAUACAUAUACAUAUGACAUGUACAUAGAAGAGGAACUAUAAAAAGAAGAUCUUCAGAGAAGAUGGGGUACAAGAAAAAGCAACAGGAGACGAAAGACAAAAUACCACAUAGCUCAUAUUCCUCCCGUAUGCAAAAUUUAGAUUUAAAUAAAUAUGAAUUUAACGUGGAA